rnacentral:lncRNA from 1 species
CAAUUAUCUCCUUAGUAAGCUGACUUUGAUUGUUGGGGGUAGAUAGCCAAAAGUGGUAUAGCUGGAUCGUAGUUUUUCUGAUGAACAUCCACAUUGAUUUCCAAAUCGGAUGGACUAUAUUCACCCCAACAGUAUAUGUAUUCUUAACUUCUACAUGGUCCCUGGCUUUAAUGAACAAAGGAAUGAACAAAAGAUCUGAAGUACAACUUCAGUGAACACAAAGUUCAGAAGGCUGUGAAAGGAAGCCAUGGUUCAGACAUUGGCAGGAAAGCCAAUAAGGUUCUAACCUGUGGAGAGACCCCAGAGGUUCCUCCUCUCCUUCAGGAUAACCAGAAGAGAAAGAAGUUGUCUUGAUGUGGGGAAGAAGCAAAGAAAUGAAAACUGGGGCUGGGCAUUUUUCCCUACCCCUCAAUUUGAACAGUGCCUUUUAUUUCAUUUCUGCUUCUUCCCUACUGAUUUGGCCAUCAGGGGCAAGAACUUUGAAGAGUUCUAUUUCUUCUCUAAUGACCUCAUACCUCUGCCCCUUCCAUGCCACUGCACUACAAGAAAACUGUUGAGUCACCUCCUAUGUAAGUGACAGGUAAUAUUGACAACUAGCACUAGGAUGAACACUUUACAGAACUGACACUUAAACUGUUAAUCAAAGGAUCUCCGAUAUGACAGGUGAAGAAACAAAACUUAGACAACCAAGCAGAGGCCUCUGGACUGGUCUACUGGAGUUCUGCUUCUAUACUCUAUUGUCCUGACCUUCCUGACUCAUUUGUUCCAUCGUCACUAAAAUACAUACACAUCCAUCAAGAAAAAAAAUAAGCAGCAUUUGGAUUGGUAGUCUGAAGGAGUAGGGUAUUUUUCUAGUAAAUGAGGGAGGAAGAAGUCAGCAUGAGGGUUAUUGGGUAUGUUGAGCAGAGGGGUUAAGUGUGUCCCUAGAACGUGGCACCACUUGUCAUGGUGCACAGUGAACUAUGCAGUGUCUUUAUGAAAAGAAAGCAAUUCCCAGAUUCAUCCCACAGUUCCUAUUAUGGUAAGUCAUUUUGUUGUUGUUUUUAACUUUCUUAUUUCUCUGGGUUCUGGUUAUUCCGUUUUAAACACAUCUUUAUUGCUUCAAGUAGGACUAAGCCUUACACAAUGAUAAAAGUAACUGAAAAACUUAUUCCACUUGAAAAAAAAAGGAAAAACACUUUUGUGACUCACCCAAUAUAAACCACAACCCAAUAAAGCCACGAUUAAAGUGGAUGUCUACUAAAUCUCUCAAUGAAUGGGGUUUCACUUUCUGUUUUCACGAGUCAUCCAAGUCCUUUGAUGUAUGUUGGGCCCUCUUGCUCAAGGCUGUCUGUUCUUUCAUCACUCUUUCCUUCCAUGAAUCUCAUGCCUGCGAUUGCUCAGCACAAUCCUGGCUAACAAGACAUGGAGGGAAGGCUUCCUGGAACACGUGGAGCAAAGUCAGGAAGAUGACCCAAGUGAAGGAAGGACAACAGAGCUGACCUUGGAGGACAUGGGCCAGGAGAUCUAAGAUGAGAUUCCCAGGACUGCUACCUAGGUCCAACUUAGACUCUGAGAACCAAGGAAAAUGAACCUCACCCAAGUUCCUAGGUGGCAACUGAGGACCAGCCCACUGGGAGGCCAGCUGGGGUCCCAAGCCUGGUUAUUCAAAGUAUGGGCUCUAGAACAACAGCCCUGGCAUCAUCUGGAGUGUUUAGGAUGUAGAAGCUCAACUCCCAGUCCCCACUUAACACAUUAGACCUCUGGGUGCUUUUGGCGAGCAUAAAAUCUUGAGAAGUACAUCUCAGAGAACCCGAGGCAAGGUCAAGGAUCAGUCAGGGUUGGUUGAGGGACUGAACCUCAGUAGGGUUGGGAGUGAGAGCAGGUCAGAAGGGAGAGAAAUACUUGAAGCUGUCUCCACGAGCUGUGGGUAUAUGGUUAUGUGGUAUGCAGGUAUAUCUAGACUCUAAAAGGGGUUUGAAUUCUCCAGUCAGCCUUCUCUGAGACUGUAAAAGACAGGGGCCCAUCUUCCUCCUUCAUCUGUUCCAGACCUACCCAGACAUCUCAGAGCUCCAAGAUAUGUACUCAUUCUUUGUUGAACUGAAUGGGGUCCCCCAGAAAUCCCACUAGUCAUAUAUCCUGAGUUUAUGAUCAUAGAGAGUCACCUUUGAUUCUGCAUCUCCCCCAGGAAUCUCUUGGUGUAAUAAGUAUGCUUGGGUGUUUUCUGUAGCACAAAUCAAAGCAAAACAAAAUACCCUGCUGGGUCACAGCAGAUCCAGCACCACAUCCCCCGAGAGUUCAGGCGGUGUCCAAAGAACUCAUCAUGAGAGCUGACCUGCUAAUGUGUGAUUUCUGCAAAAGGGCCAACGAACCUGCUGGCUCCCAUGACGGCUGUCUGGAAAGUCAGUGCCCAGGCGCCAAAUCCAGAGGUGCGCUUUGUACUUGGAGAGACAGAAUGGCCAGCCACCUCGAGGCUUCAGGAGCUGGAUCAGUGCACAGCAGCCUCCAACUGGCAAGAGUUAAUGCUAAGGUGCAGCUGCAGGAAUGUGAAGCUGGAGAGCUAGCUCGGGGAAUUGCUAUUGCAAUCAGAGGACAGCCCAAGUCAGAGUUCCAAAACCCUUUGAAGGGCUGCCAGCUCGGACACAUGUCUCCAAUUAUCAUAUGCAAUCUUGAGGCAGUGUGCAAGCUGCACUUUCAUUAUGUCAAAGUGAAAGGAGUGGUGAGGGAGAGAUAAAGUGGGGAGAGGCCGCCAGGCCGGAGACUGCUUCGCUGUGGCACCAAAUGUCAGCCCGGGUGCAGAGUGAGCCUCCAACGUAUGUCUGUCCGGGAGCCCGAGGUGUGUGGCUCCUACUCUGAGAGCCUUUGUUUUCUUUCUUUCAUUCUGAGGAUGGAGGAGAACCAGCUGACAGCCACAGGAGGCCCUGUCUCUAGGAAACUUGACCAUCUCUUUGGUAUUGGAUCUGACCACAGAUAAGAUUCUGUGGAAACUUCCCAGGGACAUCCACUGUGUCCAGCCACAGGCUUUCAGGUUAUUUCUUAAAAUUUUUCAAGGUCUGUAUUUCCAUGGGGAGCCGGUUCCUUUGCCUGGUGUAACUAAGAAGGAGGCAUAAGAAUAGAUAGCUCCUUCUUGCCUAUCCAGGGUUGGCUGUUUCUAGGCUGGGUUUUGCUUUUUUUUUUUUCAUUCUGAACCAAGUCCUAGCCCAGGAGACCAUUGCCCUCAACUUCAUUUUCCAAACACAGACCAAUAGAUUUUCCUCAGAGACAUCUCCCAGGCUUAUCUCUUCCACACCAUUGCCUCUUAGGACUGAGCUCAUCAUUUGGAAUGGAUAUUUGACUGAUCCAUGUGUUACUCUGUGUUUUUAAGUAAGUUUGCAGAGGUAUGGGAGGGUAGAACAUAUACUUUCUGGCUUCUUCUUAGCUCUCAAGAGUUAUUUAUACAUGCAUGCAGACUCACAUAUUUACACAUACAGUUUUAUGUAUGAAUAUGUCUUUACAUAUUGUAUUUACAUAUGUACAUGUAUUAUCUGUGUUAUAUGCAAAAUUGCUGCUGUACUAAGGACUUUAUAAGAUAGCAACAGAAUUUCCAUUACCACCCUUGUUUUGCAUUAAGAGAAGUGACAUUUAGAGCGAUAAGGAGCUUGCCAGCACCAUUCAACCAAGCUAGUGGUGAGGCCAGGCUUGGGCUGUGACACUCUGGUCACAAUCCUCAUAACAUCUCCGUCUGAAAUCCAUUCAGUUGUCUCCCAUGCUGUGUACCCAGGAAAUGUCACUUGGAGUAGUAUUCCAUUUAUUGAUGACAUAGGGGGUGUGCAGGGAGAGGAGACAUGCUAGGACUGGUGGCUGUGAAGAAAAAGGCAAGAACUAAGUUAUGCCUUACCUGCCCUGAGAUCCUGCUUAAGCAGACACUUGCCUGCUGUCUGGAAGAUUGGGCCGUGAUGUGGAAGAGACAUAGCUGGAAUGCACCCCUCACCAGGAAGCAGGCCUGGGUUAGAGGAAUCUCCUCAGUUCAUUGCUGUGGUUAAUUCUGGCCAACUUUGGCCCCUGGGCCCCCUGAGCCUCCUCCGCAAACCCAGAAGAACUCUGGAGAGGUCAGAGCAUUUUUAUUCACCAAUCCAAGUGAAAUGCAGCAAAACACACUCCACAUGCUUGACACGUGGAAAUUCUCAGAGCCAGCGGUUGAUAAAUGUGCCAAACUUGAGGAGUAAACAUCCCAGAGAAGGCAGAGCUGCAUGCAAGCCUUCCUGGCUUCAUCAGGUGGUUAUAUUAGCUUCAGAGCCUGGAGGCUAGCUCAUAACUAAUCCGUACAAGGUGUUGAGCCCUGUGCCUGGUAGACAGUGAGUAAGGUCUCAGUAGGUGCUAAUAGGCACAUUAGUACACUCGCUAUUACUAGUCGGAAGGAACCGAUCGGAUAGUUAUAACAACACUAGUAGCCAAUGAGCUUACUCGCCUCAUGGAAAACCAUCCCACCACAUUCUAAGGGCCUUCUAGUGUGCAAUUGACUCUAGUUUUCAAAACUAGAAUUUUGUUACAUAUUUCUUAAAUGCUAGGUACAUACAUACACAUAUAUACAUGUACACAUAUAUGUACACACACACACAUAUAAUCUUAGUUAUUGCUAGACUUUCUGAGAACUUAACUCCUAGAUGGUUGUUAAGAACUGUGUGGAAAGGCUGACAAGACGGCUCAGCUUGCAAGCUUGGCAACCUGAGUUUGAUUCCUGUGAGAACCCCUCCAUGAGGUUGUCUUCUGCCCUCCAUACAUGUUACAUGGCAUGUAUGCUAAAAUACACGCCCCCCCCCACACACUCAGUACAUUUGACAAAAGAACCUUGCUUAAGAUAACCCAGUCCAAGCUCUCCAUGUGAUGUCCAAGUCUGUUUCUUCAUCACUACUCUGGAACUUCUGGAACCUACAUGAUCCCCAUGAACCCAGGUUCAGGCAGGAUCUGCCCAGGGCACUGCCAUUCUGCUCCUCCCCUUCUGGGCACAGCUGUACACAUCUGUAUUCCAUGAUGCCCACUGAGAAGAGGGCUUCUCUAUCCCGUCUGUAAUGCACCAGUAAACAAACAUCCAGUGAGCCCUAGCAUGGCUGUUCCUUUCUUAAGUCAGCACAGGGUUGCUCAUAGCUGUGGCUUCUGACCCUUGCCCAGGACUUAACCGGUUUCAUGGCUUUACUUCAUGCUCACAAUCCUGCGAUUAUUUUCACAGCCGCCCAGUGUAAAAGGAGCUGUGCUUUGCCAGCAUUUGCAGAGAGGACUGAGAGAGCCAGCCUCAGGACUCAGCUCUGCUGUCAGCAUCCCCGAACUUGUCCCAUUACAGAGGGCUGCUUCCUCUCCACCAUGGGCAGCUGAUGACUUUGGCUCUGUGUGGCCCAGUGCCUGCAACUGUUCUGUUCCUGCCUUUAGUAGGAAGACCAUGAGGUCAACACUGAGGACAGGUCUCUGUGUUCCAGAUAACCUGGGCUUCCCCUUGGUUCUUCUUUUCUUGUUUAUUUUUUUCUCACCAGCAUAUAGGCCAGGCAUCCCAGAUGUGGCAGGACCUGCCCUCUAUCCUCAACUCCAGGUCUGAGGCAGGUGUCCCCCACAGGGCUUAAAAUUUUGGGCACACGCCUGUGGUCCACAGGAACUGGCCUAGCCAUUUGGUGGUGCUGAAGACCCGUGACUAUCUCUGCCUUCUGUUAGGAGUGGGAGAAGCUCAUGGUCUGACUAGCGGUGGGGAAGUCCAAGGGACAAACGGGGGCUCUAACCAUAAUCAGAACACCAGUGCUGUCGGUCUGCUCCUGGAACCAGGAGAGGUGGCAAAAAAAAAAAGGAUCUUGGAGAGAGAGGGUGGACUGGGCGAGCAGAGGAGACAGUGGGUUAGUGCUAGUUUUCUGUGACAGGUUGGAGGAUGUCUUCAGAUGAAAGAAGGUGCCAAAGAGAAGAGGGAAACCAAGGUAGAAAAAUCUUAGGAAGAAACGGAUGAAAAAGCAUGGAAUGGGCUUCUCUAUGAACACAAUGGAAUAUUUGGAGCUGCCUUUUCCUUAUGCUCAAGGGGUUGGGACCCUGGCCGUGCAGUGACCUCUCGGGGAAGCCAAGAUAGACUGCUAGCUGGAACUUCCCCCCACACAGGGGAAGAGUUCAAGCUGUGGAAAGGCCCUGGCCUGAGGUGGGUUUGGACUGCUUACACUCUGACCAGCCAAACUGAUAGCUCCUUGUGCUGUGUGAAAACACUGGCUUCCACAUUGUGACUGCAGUGUUCACCGAGAGCACAGUUUGCCUUUGGGGGAGCAAUGGUGCUGUGGUGGCAGGGAGGCUGUUUCUACCAGUAACUGUAGAACUUCUUUCCUGGAAAUUGGGUGCCCUCAAUGGGUCUCCAUUAGAGAUUCAGGUGACACGUUAGCCCUGUUAGCAGGCCAGGGAGCCAACGGCGUUUUUCAGAUAUCCCAAAGAGUCUGACAGUACUGGGGCAUGGCUCUCUACAAGUGGCUUUACUGGUGUAGCCACUCAGAGGCACAGCUGCUCUGCCUAAAAGCUUCCAGAAUGUCUCCCUCGCCAGCACUGUCUUCACAUCCAGGACUUAGCAGCUCUGUGUGCCCCUAGGAGAAAGACCUUUAGAACCUAUCUCUUCACAAGAGGGGCCUGGGACUUCUGAGGCCAUGGAAUAGGAACCCUGCAAAACCCACAGACACCGGCUAGUGGGAGGACUCCCUUUAUCUGACAAAGCAUCUCAGCACGGAAUGUUCUGGUUAGUGUUUCUUGAACUUAAAUCUUUAUUCCAAUUGCAGUAGCUGUGAUAGGAAAGACCAGCCUAUUUCAUCACACUCUUACCCUAAUCAAAUGUUCUCAUUCCAAAGCUCUCCUUGAAUGAGGGUGGGGGUGGGGCAGGACAGUGAUGGUUGCAGAGGAAAUGCAUGCAACAUGUUCGUUUUUUAGCCAAAGGACACUUGGAAUUAAUUUUUAAAAGCCAGAGUAGGCGUUAUCAUCUUUGGAGGAGAGGUAUGGCCAAAAAUUUCUCUGUGUGAUGUUUUCUAGGGACAAAAUUGAGGCUUGAGGGAAGCAACCACAACAACAAAAAAAACAAGAUGAAGGGGAUGGUGACUACAUCCUGCUCUGUGGAGGAUUCUGCAGUCUCUCUGUUACCUUUGCUGCUCUUAAGACAGUGGUCAUGAGUACAUUCUGUCUGUUUCCUUUCCUAUUUAGAGGAAAGGAAAGCAGCUGUGCCCACCUGACUUGGCCCCUCUCCCCUCCAUCUUCCUGGGCUUAUUUGUGUUAGUCUUACUAUGUUUGUCUUUAUCUGUUCUAUAGCAACCCUCGUCUCUACAGGUCUUAAUGGUCCCAGCUAGUUCUGGUCACUUGUGGAAAACGUCUCAGGAAGAAUAAAAAGUUUUCAAAAGUUCACUUCUGACUGGUUACUGACUUUCUAGUUGGAAGCAGAUGCUGGGGUACUAGGCCACUGACAGUUGCUGCUAGAGCUGUUUGUGGGUGGCAAGAAGUUUGGAAGCCUUACUGUUUUCUUGGGGUAGGGAUGCCUUUCUACAGGAAGCCACAGGGGAAUAAUGGAGAGGCAGCCAUCAUUGUUAAGGUAAUCUUAACAUGAAAUCAGAUAUGCCAUGACAGGC